rnacentral:rRNA from 1 species
GUGGGGAAUUUUGGACAAUGGGGGCAACCCUGAUCCAGCCAUGCCGCGUGCGGGAAGAAGGCCUUCGGGUUGUAAACCGCUUUUGUCAGGGAAGAAAUCCUUUGGGUUAAUACCUCGGAGGGAUGACGGUACCUGAAGAAUAAGCACCGGCUAACUACGUGCCAGCAGCCGCGGUAAUACGUAGGGUGCGAGCGUUAAUCGGAAUUACUGGGCGUAAAGCGUGCGCAGGCGGUUUUGUAAGAUCGAUGUGAAAUCCCCGGGGUCAACCUGGGAACUGCAUUGGUGAAUGCAAGGCUGGAGUGCGGCAGAGGGGGAUGGAAUUCCGCGUGUAGCAGUGAAAUGCGUAGAUAUGCGGAGGAACACCGAUGGCGAAGGCAAUCCCCUGGGCCUGCACUGACGCUCAUGCACGAAAGCGUGGGGAGCAAACAGGAUUAGAUACCCGGGUAGUCC